rnacentral:rRNA from 1 species
AGCGAACGCUGGCGGCAGGCUUAACACAUGCAAGUCGAACGGGCGUAGCAAUACGUCAGUGGCAGACGGGUGAGUAACGCGUGGGGAACGUACCUUUUGGUUCGGAACAACCCAGGGAAACUUGGGCUAAUACCGGAUAAGCCCUUACGGGGAAAGAUUUAUCGCCGAAAGAUCGGCCCGCGUCUGAUUAGCUAGUUGGUGUGGUAACGGCGCACCAAGGCGACGAUCAGUAGCUGGUCUGAGAGGAUGAUCAGCCACAUUGGGACUGAGACACGGCCCAAACUCCUACGGGAGGCAGCAGUGGGGAAUAUUGGACAAUGGGCGCAAGCCUGAUCCAGCCAUGCCGCGUGAGUGAUGAAGGCCCUAGGGUUGUAAAGCUCUUUUGUGCGGGAAGAUAAUGACGGUACCGCAAGAAUAAGCCCCGCUAACUUCGUGCCAGCCGCCGCAGU